GUUCAGUCUACACUAUAUCUGCUGAGGCUAAGAUAAGCGUAGUUCUGAAGUAUGUAUAGACUCCUCCUUCAGGAAUAAAUUGGUUGGCUUUUAACACGUCGUUUUAAUUGUAGUUUUUUCAUGAAAACGAACACACUUGGAACCUCGAGAGUUAAUUGGUAAUUUUAAAACACAGGUUCCCUUAAAUGGUGAGCCCGUACGUCAUCCUGGAAGGACAUCAGAUAAAAGGACAGAGGAGUGGACAGGGAUUCAGUUGGACUGCAAUCUCCCCGGUGCACCGACAGAAAGAGGAGUCUUAUCCUCCGGAUUGUCCACAAGGCCUUUGAGGGGAACGACCCCCACGGCCAAUAUCAGCUGCUGUCCCUGAAAGAGGACGUGGAGACCAUAAGCGCGCUCGCUCCAUUGGACGUCGCCUCUCUGAAUCUGAGAGGUGUUUCUCACCACUAAGAGAAUCAAGACCUUCCUGAGGAUCGUCUCAAUGGAAUGGCCAUGCUCUCCAAUGAGAAGAAUCUUGUAUCGUCAUUACUUGCGAUCCAGUAUCCAGAAAGCACGAACAUUCUUGAUCAGCAAUAAUUAUUUUGCCAGUGCAUUUUGAGCUGAUUAAACCUGGUUGAUACAUUUCA